rnacentral:lncRNA from 10 species
ACUCCCGAGGGGACGGUCUCCCGCCCGCCCUCACACACAGCUAGCUCUUCAGGCCAGGCCCCCAGGGUUUCGUCCACCUCUCACCUUUGACGACGCGAAUGAAGAAUGAGGAGGUGCUGCGAUCGAACGACUGCGAGGAAACACACCCGCUCUCAUGGCAUUCCCAGUAAACUGAGAAGACGUGAUUAAACCUCAGGAUCUCCUACUAAUAGAGAAAUGUAUAACGAUUUAGCUACCAGAUCUGAAUACUGAAGGGUUGGUAGGGGACCAGAGAAUAGAGGAAGCAUUGUAGGUUCUAGAGUGGAGAAGGGACCAUCCAAAAUGGAGUUUGAAAGAGAAUUCUGGCCUUUGUGUUUAGAGUCUGGAAUUGUCAAGAGUCUGAAAGCACAGAAUAAGACUGCAGCUAGAGCAAUUUAGGCGCCAUAGUUUGUCAAAACAGGUAAGGGGAAUAAAGGGGAUGACACCAAGAGAUGUGCAAAGAAUCUGAAGAAUUCACCUGAAAAGGAUACAACCUCCUCCUGGAAGGCAGAGGAGUAAAUAGGGAAUUGGAAAUUAAUUCCUUAUUUCUGCACAUGCACAGAAUCUGGGCCCAGGUGACUUAUGGAACCUUUAUAGAGACCACGGUGACUGACACUCAUGGGAAAGGGGGUAGAGGGGCAAGAACUGACUGUUCAUCAAAAAUUAUUAGAUGAGUGUGUCCACGACACCAGGAGAUAUGUUGAAUCAUGGACAGGGACCAGCAUAUCCACUAAGCUCUAUAUAUCUUGAUGGUGCAGGAUCCAAGUGGGAUGGAACAACCAAUUCCUGCCCAUCCUCCUGCUCAAUAAUACAUGUGCUCAGAAUCUGUUCAUAAUGCAUGGUGAGUGGGAGGCAUAACUGCUUUGCCUCCAGUCAUCAUCUGGGGGCAUAUCUACUCUUCGAGGACCAGGGGUUCGGGACCCUGGAACAGGAUCUGAAUUCCAAGCUGACCUCAGGGGUACAUGAAGACUGCUAGAUGAGACGGGAUCUCACUGUGUUGCCCAGGCUGGUCUCGAACUGCUGGACUCAAGUCAUCCUCCCAUCUUGGCCUCCCAAAGUGCUGGAAUUACAGGUGUGAGACGCUGUGCCUUGCUUUUUUUUUGUUUCUCCAACUUUUCUUAAAAUGUUACCUUCACUUCAGUUAAGCUGCCUUUGUUUGAUCUCUGAGAUCUAAUGUGGAAUGCCUUUUCUUAUACAUUUAUUCAACUUUGGCACUCUUGGUAUCUUGGGCUGAUAAUUCUUUGUUGGGGUUGGGGAGAGACUGCCCUGUGCAUUGUGUGAUUUAUUAAUGAAAAAUACUUUGCAAAAACAGUAUGUUUGG